CCCAGCCAAGGAAAUGCCCUGUCUUUGAUGCCAGGAGCAUUGGGAUUUGCAUCUGCUCCUGCAUAGCUGGGGCGUUUCCAGAAUCGAGGGUGGAGAGAAGCAAAAUGGACACCAGCCUGGCGGCCUGACCCUUCAGGGAGCCUGGAACACCGCCCAGAGAAGUUCCAAGGGCUGGACAGGCCAUAGGGAGUGGUGGGCACCGGGCCGUUCUGACCAUGCAAACAGCAACACCUGCGGUCCCACCUGCUGCACGGUCCCCACGGGAAGCGCUCUGAUGGGAAGCUGUGAUGGGUGCUCCUAGGAAGGCCUCCCCCGUCACGGUGGGCCUGGGCCUAAGGAUGUGAGGCCUCUGCCAUGUGUCCCCAUAUGUAAGAGGGGUAAGUGACACCACUAGCCUUGUUCCUGCCCAGGGCCCUCAGCCUGCUUGUCCCCUGGUGACUGUGAGGGUAGAGGAGCCCACCUCAACCAAAUAUUUGGACAAACAAAAAGUCUGAAUAUUCAAAGAGCCACUUAACAUCUUAAAUUUGCCAUCAGUUGCCCACUGAGCAGCUAUUGCAGACUGGUG
rnacentral:lncRNA from 1 species